AGUAUUGUGGGGUUAAUAAUGUAACACAUAAACAAACGACAACCACUGAACUUCAGGCUCCUGACUUUGGACAGGCAUAUAAAGAGUGUGGCGGGGUUAAUAAUGUAACACAUAAAAAAACGACAACCACUGAACUACAGGCUCCUGACUUGGGACAGGCAUAUAAAGAGUGUGGCGGAGUUAAUAUUGUAACACAUAAACAAACGACAACCACUGAACUACGGGCUCCUGACUUGGGAUAGGCAAAUAAAGAGUGUGGCGGGGUUAAUAAUGUAACACAUAAACAAACGAUAACCACUGAACUACAGGCUCCUGUCUUGGGACAGGCAUAUAAAGAAUGUGUUGGGGUUAAUAAUGUUUGUGAGCGCUCAUGCCUCCCCUUAAAUCGGACAGUGUUGUAUUAAUUAUUUCAUUUUCUUCCACUUAUUUUUUAACUCCAUUAUUAUCUAUUUCUAUUGGUUUUAUGUGAACAUGUUUAUAUAUUCAAUAGUGAUUAUAUGUUGUCAGAUAUAAGAUCACCCCA
rnacentral:lncRNA from 1 species